AGUGAACGCUGGCGGUAGGCCUAACACAUGCAAGUCGAACGGCAGCACAGUAAGAGCUUGCUCUUACGGGUGGCGAGUGGCGGACGGGGGGGGAAUACAUCGGAAUCUACUUUUUCGUGGGGGAUAACGUAGGGAAACUUACGCUAAUACCGCAUACGACCUACGGGUGAAAGUAGGGGAUCUUCGGACCUUGCGCGAUUGAAUGAGCCGAUGUCGGAUUAGCUAGUUGGCGGGGUAAAGGCCCACCAAGGCGACGAUCCGUAGCUGGUCUGAGAGGAUGAUCAGCCACACUGGAACUGAGACACGGUCCAGACUCCUACGGGAGGCAGCAGUGGGGAAUAUUGGACAAUGGGCGCAAGCCUGAUCCAGCCAUACCGCGUGGGUGAGGAAGGCCUUCGGGUUGUAAAGCCCUUUUGUUGGGAAAGAAAAGCAGCAGGUUAAUACCCCGCUGUUCUGACGGUACCCAAAGAAUAAGCACCGGCUAACUUCGUG
rnacentral:rRNA from 1 species